rnacentral:rRNA from 1 species
CGGACGGGUGAGUAAAGCGUAGGAAUCUGCCUUUAGGUGGGGGAUAACCCGGGGAAACUCGGACUAAUACCGCAUGACACUGAGAAGUCAAAGCGUGGGACCGUAAAAGGCCACGCGCCUGGAGAGGAGCUUACGUCGGAUUAGCUAGUUGGUUGGGUAAAGGCUGACCAAGGCGAUGAUCCGUAGCUGGUCUGAGAGGACGAUCAGCCACACUGGGACUGAGACACGGCCCAG